GCAUCGAUGAAGAACGCAGCGAAAUGCGAUAAGUAAUGUAUGAGAUUGCAGNAUUUCAGUGAAUCAUCGAAUCUUUGAACGCACAUUGCGGCCCCUUGGUAUUCCGAGGGGCAUGCCUGUUCGAGCGUCAUU
rnacentral:rRNA from 1 species